rnacentral:rRNA from 1 species
AUUGAACGCUGGCGGCAGGCCUAACACAUGCAAGUCGAGCGGUAGAGAGAAGCUUGCUUCUCUUGAGAGCGGCGGACGGGUGAGUAAUGCGUAGGAAGCUACCCGAUAGAGGGGGAUACCAGUUGGAAACGACUGUUAAUACCGCAUAAUGUCUACGGACCAAAGUGUGGGACCUUCGGGCCACAUGCUAUCGGAUGCGCCUACGUGGGAUUAGCUAGUUGGUGAGGUAAUGGCUCACCAAGGCGACGAUCCCUAGCUGGUUUGAGAGGAUGAUCAGCCACACUGGAACUGAGACACGGUCCAGACUCCUACGGGAGGCAGCAGUGGGGAAUAUUGGACAAUGGGCGCAAGCCUGAUCCAGCCAUGCCGCGUGUGUGAAGAAGGCCUUCGGGUUGUAAAGCACUUUCAGUAGGGAGGAAGCGUUGUGUGUUAAUAGUACACAGCGUUGACGUUACCUACAGAAGAAGCACCGGCUAACUCUGUGCCAGCCGCCGCGGUAACAC